GACGAACGCUGGCGGCGUGCUUAACACAUGCAAGUCGAACGGAAAGGCCCUGCUUUUGUGGGGUGCUCGAGAGGCGAACGGGUGAGUAACACGUGAGUAACCUGCCCUUGACUUUGGGAUAACUUUAGGAAACAGGGGCUAAUACCGGAUAGGAGCUCCUGCUGCAUGGUGGGGGUUGGAAAGAUUCGGCGGUUGGGGAUGGACUCGCGGCUUAUCAGCUUGUUGGUGGAGUAGUGGCUUACCAAGGCUUUGACGGGUAGCCGGCCUGAGAGGGUGGCCGGCGACAUUGGGACUGAGAUACGGCCCAGACUCCAACGGGAGGCAGCAGUGGGGAGUAUGGCACAGUGGGCGGGAGCCUGAUGCAGCGACGCCGCGUGCGGGAUGACCGCCUUCGAGUUGUGAACCGCUUUCGCCUGUGACGAGGCGAGAGUGACGGUAAUGAGUAAAGAAGCACCGGCUAACUACGUG
rnacentral:rRNA from 1 species